CUGGCCGCUAUAGCUGGUUGGGUGUUGAUAUAUUUCACGCAAAAUUGCGAUAGUUGGCCCGAGGUUGAGCAGCAUAAUGCGUCCAAUAGCCAAUCUAUCCAAGAAGCGGAGGACGUUGUUGAGUGCCGUAGGCUGCAUAAUUUGGCAUUGUCACUGUUUCUCCUGGCUGCUUUAUUUACUGUGUUUGGCGCAAUUAUACUUGUAGUAUGCUAUGCCCACAAUUGCGACCACCAGAGAGCGUAUGGUAAACAGACAUUCGCAUGGAUCAUGGCGUCAGUGUUUCCAAGUAUAUUCCUAGGGCUACUUGUUGUGCAGACAUGGAAGCCGUGCCCAGCUACUCGCUUUUUUCUUGCGCCGUAUAUUGUUUGCGUGAGUACAUAUUCUGUUUUAAGGAAUAAUAUCAAUUGUGUUAUAUUUACCUAUAGCAUACAGUGCACAGCC